GACGAACGCUGGCGGCGUGCUUAACACAUGCAAGUCGAACGGUGAACCUCUUCGGAGGGGAUCAGUGGCGAACGGGUGAGUAACACGUGGGCAACCUGCCCCCGGCUCUGGGAUAACUCCAAGAAAUUGGGGCUAAUACCGGAUGUUCACCGCUUCCCGCAUGGGUGGUGGUGAAAAGGGUUUCCGGCUGGGGAUAGGCCCGCGGCCUAUCAGCUUGUUGGUGGGGUAGUGGCCUACCAAGGCGACGACGGGUAGCCGGCCUGAGAAGGGGACCGGCCACACGAGGACUGAGGGACGCCGCAGACGCCAAUGGGAGGCAGCAGGGGGGAAUAUGGCGCAAUGGGCGGGAGCCUGACGCAGCGGCGCCGCGUGGGGGAUGACGGCCUUCGGGUGGUAAACAUCUGUCAGAAGGGACGAAGCGGAAGUGACGGUACCUGAAGAAGAAGCACCGGCCAACUACGUG
rnacentral:rRNA from 1 species